GAUGAACGCUGACAGAAUGCUUAACACAUGCAAGUCGAUGGGGAAGUGGUGCUUGCACCAUGGCAACCAUGGCGGACGGGUGAGUAACGCGUAAGGGACUUACCUGCAGGACUGGGAUAACAGGGGGAAACUCCUGACAAGACCGGAUAAUGUCAUGGAGCUGCAUGGCUUUAUGAUGAAAGGAGACGCCUGCGGAGAGCCUUGCGUCCUAUUAGCUAGUUGGUGAGGUAAUGGCUCACCAAGGCGAAGAUAGGUAGCCGGCCUGAGAGGGUGGACGGCCACAAGGGGACUGAGAUACGGCCCUUACUCCUACGGGAGGCAGCAGUGGGGAAUAGUGGACAAUGGGGGCAACCCUGAACCAGCAAUUCUGUGUGCACGAAGAAGGUUUUCGGAUUGUAAAGUGCUUUCAGCAGGGAAGAAGUAAGUGACGGUACCUGCAGAAGAAGCGACGGCUAAAUACGUG
rnacentral:rRNA from 1 species